GGACGAACGCUGGCGGCGUGCUUAACACAUGCAAGUCGAACGGAAAGGCCCUGCUUUUGUGGGGUGCUCGAGUGGCGAACGGGUGAGUAACACGUGAGUAACCUGCCCUUGACUUUGGGAUAACUUCAGGAAACUGGGGCUAAUACCGGAUAGGAGCUCCUGCUGCAUGGUGGGGGUUGGAAAGUUUCGGCGGUUGGGGAUGGACUCGCGGCUUAUCAGCUUGUUGGUGGGGUAGUGGCUUACCAAGGCUUUGACGGGUAGCCGGCCUGAGCGGGUGACCGGCCACAGUGGGACUGAGAUACGGCCCAGACUCCUACGGGAGGCAGCAGUGGGGAAUAUUGCACAAUGGGCGGAAGCCUGAUGCAGCAACGCCGCGUGCGGGAUGACGGCCUUCGGGUUGUAAACCGCUUUCGCCUGUGACGAAGCGUGAGUGACGGUAAUGGGUAAAGAAGCACCGGCUAACUACGUG
rnacentral:rRNA from 1 species